rnacentral:rRNA from 1 species
UACGGAGGGGGCUAGCGUUGUUCGGAAUUACUGGGCGUAAAGCGCACGUAGGCGGCUUUGUAAGUCAGAGGUGAAAGCCCGGAGCUUAACUCCGGAAUUGCCUUUGAGACUGCAUCGCUUGAAUCCAGGAGAGGUGAGUGGAAUUCCGAGUGUAGAGGUGAAAUUCGUAGAUAUUCGGAAGAACACCAGUGGCGAAGGCGGCUCACUGGACUGGUAUUGACGCUGAGGUUCGAAAGCGUGGGGAGCAAACAGG